GACGAACGCUGGCGGCGUGCCUAAUACAUGCAAGUCGAACGCUUCUUUCCUCCCGAGUGCUUGCCCUCAAUUGGAAAGAGGAGUGGCGGACGGGUGAGUAACACGUGUGUAACCUACCCAUCAGAGGGGGAUAACACUUGGAAACAGGUGCUAAUACCGCAUAACAGUUUAUGCCGCAUGGCAUAAGAGUGAAAGGCGCUUUCGGGUGUCGCUGAUGGAUGGACCCGCGGUGCAUUAGCUAGUUGGUGAGGUAACGGCUCACCAAGGCCACGAUGCAUAGCCGACCUGAGAGGGUGAUCGGCCACACUGGGACUGAGACACGGCCCAGACUCCUACGGGAGGCAGCAGUAGGGAAUCUUCGGCAAUGGACGAAAGUCUGACCGAGCAACGCCGCGUGAGUGAAGAAGGUUUUCGGAUCGUAAAACUCUGUUGUUAGAGAAGAACAAGGACGUUAGUAACUGAACGUCCCCUGACGGUAUCUAACCAGAAAGCCACGGCUAACUACGUG
rnacentral:rRNA from 1 species